CAACGUGAGCAAACCUGCCCUUGACUCUGGAAUAACAGCUGGAAACAGCUGCUAAUACUGGAUAUGACCUCCGACGGCAUGGUUGGAGGUGGAAAGUUCCGGCGGUCAGGGAUGGGCUCGCGGCCUAUCAGCUAGUUGGUGAGGUAACGGCUCACCAAGGCUUCGACGGGUAGCCGGCCUGAGAGGGCGACCGGCCACACUGGGACUGAGAUACGGCCCAG
rnacentral:rRNA from 1 species